UUUCUAUUGUGCACAGAUUCCUCUAAAUCCUUCUUGGACUUCCCCAUAUAUUGGGCCUGUGGCAUCUUUUAGAGAUAGGCAAAUUGAGGCUGAAGGAGGGUGAGUGAGUUGUCCAGGAUCACAGAGCUAUCUAGCGGCCAAAGUGAUUUGUGCUUCCUGUAGGCCCCUGUGGAGAGACCAGUCCUGGUUCAGAUCGGUUUGAGCUACCCAGGGCCAAGGUCACCGUACAGGCCAGUGGUCACCUUGCCUCUGACAUUGCACCUAAAUUGGCCUCUUUGAGAAUUUUCACCCACUGCUUCCUGUUUGGCCCCUGGGGGCCAAAUCCUUUCUCCACACGACAGACCUUUACAUUUUGGACGACAGCUAACAUGGCCCCCCAAGACCUCUCUUCU